CUACGUCACACUUUCGGGUCACGUGACCGCCGCGACCGCGGGCGGCCCCAGGAACUUGGCCCAGGAGGACGUGCCUGGGCGUGGGCGGGGCUUCUCAUCCCCAGACUGAGUCGGCUCCGCUGGGAGGUGUUACGUGCAGUCUGUACGUGGAGGUCUCAGCUUAAACCGGAAAGGCUUCCUGACCACCCAUCUUUCUCCUUCUUUCUUCCAUCCCUCUCCUACUCUACCCCCCAAGGAGCAAAGGAACUAUCAUCAACCAUUUUCAGAUGUUGUGUUACCUUUACGUUCAAGAACAUCGGGGACUGCUACAAGGAAUCAGUCUGAUCAUUAAGUCAAGGCUAGAUUUCUGCAGCUCUGGGACUCCUCUUCUCCUAACUGCAAACAACUGGAAAGCAGGGGUGGGGGAUGGAACAACUGAACAACAGGAAGCACAAGACUGUGUUCUACAAGCAAAGGGAAACAAACUAGGAGAAUGCUAGAUUGCCCUGACUUUCUAUUUGUGGAGAAUUUUCAGCCACAGUGCAAGAAAGUCUCAUGAGGAAAUACAGACUGAGAUUCAGGAAAGCUAAGACAGCUAAAAUUUGUGGGACAGUGAAUAGGAGAGAAAAGAGCUUGAAAAAGAACUCCAGAAAUGUCCAUAGGUGCUCCUCCUUUGAAUCUUUUAGACUAAAUUCCAAUCUUGUAUGUGAAAGGUGAAACUCCUUGAGGCUGGGCAAAGAACAACUGCUGAGGAAAAAAUAUUUCAGAGCAGGUGUAACACAGAAAAUUCUGGGAGCUCACACAAGGCUUGGGAUCAAUCUAGUGCCCAUCAGAUGCUGGCAAGAGACCUCACUGAAUUAAUGGGCAUUCAAUAGAGAUCUUGGAAGUCCCAUCUUAGUAGUGGAGCUAAACUGGCUCAACAGUAAAGGCUACCUAAACACACCUAGAACACUUGAAAUCAAACCUCAGAAAGAUGAAGUUGAUGCAAAAGUAACCUCCAGAACAAUGUUCAACACUCUUUAAAGAAAUACUGCAAGCCCUGGCUGGCGUAGCUCAGUGGAUUGAGCACAGGCCUGCGAACCACACGAUCGCGGGUCGAUUCCCAGUCAGGGCACAUGCCUGGGUUGCAGGCCAGUUCCCAGCAGGGGACGCACAAAAAGGCAAACAUACAUUGAUAUUUCUCUACCUCUCUCCUUCCCUUCCCCUCUAAAGAUAAAUAAAUAAAAUCUUUAAAAAGAAAAGAAAUACUGCAAAAUAUUUUUGGUAAAAUAUUGUAAAUUUUUGUAAAGGAAUGUUACAAAAAAGUUGGGAAGGCAAAAAUCAGUUCAAGAAGGUUGAAGCUAUAAAUACUAGAACUUCUGAGACAGAAUAGGAGAGCAGUGCACAGAGAGAAGCUUCUGGAGAACUGCAGAAAACUUCCUCAAACAUUUGACUGAGUACUGAUUUGCACAUGAGUGAGAGGAAUCUUAGAAAUAGUCACUGCAAAGGAGUAAGAACAAUUUCUUGGAGUCCAUGCAGGGCAAAAAAUUUCUUGGAGUCUAUGCAGGGAAUGGUUCCCAUCAGUCACAAUAGAGUGGUUGCAUCAUACCCAGGACAUUGAGUACAGCCUUCCGAAGAGUCAGGCCUCAGUAGCAAGGAUGCAAAACCCAGAGUGAAGUCUUCUCUAGACCUGCCAUACCAAUGCUUAAUGAUAAGGCUUAUUUAACUGGAUCAAGCUGAUCCUCAAUUAGAUUUAAUAAAAUCAGCACACUUAAAAAGAUUUAAAAAUUAGCAUACAAUUCCAGCAAUCCUAUUUCUGGAUACACAGCCAAAAGAAUUCAAAACAGGCCCUAGCUAAGUAGCACAGCUGGUUAGACACUGUCCCAAUAUUUCAAGGUUGCAGCUUUGAUCCCUGGUCAAGGACAUACAAGAAUCAACUAAUGAGUGCGUAAGUGGAACAACAAAUUGAUUUUUCUCUCCCUCUCCCACUGCCCCUCUCACUCUUAAAAAAAAAAAAAGUUCACAAUUCCAGCCAAGAUGGAGGCAUAGAUAGAAACCCUUUGCUCCCUCACAUAACCAAAAGGAGGAUAAAAACCAAUCUAAAAACAAUGAACAACCAGAAGUGCCAGAAUAUCAAACUACAUAAAAUUCUAACAACCAAGGAGUUGAAGAAACAUUCACUAGACCAGCAGGAGGGAUGGAGACGUGCUUCCAGGCAGGUGGAGAGGACCAGUGGCAAGGCAACAGACCAUGUGAGUGAGGUGGGGCUGUCUGAAUGGGAAACUAAAGACUCAAGCUAGCUGUAAACUACCAUGGAGUUGCCACGGCAGGAGAAACUCCCAGUCUCACACACAGAGUUCGUUGGAAAGUGGGGCUAAGCAAGUGAACUGCAUUGUUCCCUCUAUGACCCCUCCCCCACAAGCAAUGCCACAAUGCAGCAAAGAGGCUUGCCUCGCCCGGUAAACACCUAAGGCCCCGCCAGCCUACAACAUAACAGGUGCACUGAGACAAAGAAAAAUGGCCCAAAUGAAAGAGCAGAUCCAAAUUCCAGAAAAAGAGCUAAGCAACGAGGAGAUAGUCAACCUAUCUGAUGCAGAGUUCAAAACACUGGUAAUCAGGAUGCUCACAGAACUGCUUGAGUCACCAAAUGAAGGAACAAAUGAAGGCUACCCAAAGUGAAAGAAAUCAGAAUAUACAGGGAACCGACAGUGAAGGGAAGGAAACCAGAACUCAAAUCAACCAUUUGGAACAAAAGGAAGAAAUAAACAUCCAACCAGAACAGAAUGAAGAAACAAGAAUUAAAAAAAAAAAAAAAUGAGGAGAAGCUUAGGAACCUCUGGGCCAACUUUAAAUAUUCCAAUAUCCUAAUCACUGGGGUACCAGAAGAAGAACAAGAGCAAGAAGUUGAAAUUUUAUUUGAACAAAUAACGAAGGAAAACUUUCCCGAUCUGGAGAAGAAAACAGAUUUCCAGGAAGUCCACGAAGCCCAGAGGUCCCACAGAAAUUGGACCCAAAGAGGAACACACCAAGGAGCAUCAUCAUUAAGUUACCUGAGAUUAAAUAAGGAGAGAAUCUUAAAAGCAGCAAGAGGAAAGGAAAGAGUUACCUACAAAGGAGUUCCCAUAAGGCUAUCAGCUGAUUUCUCAAAAGAAACUUUACAGGCAAGAAGGGACCAGAAAGAAGUAUUCAAAGUCUUGAAAGGCAAGAACCUACAUCCAAGAUUACUGCAUUCAGCAAAUCUAUCAUUUAGAAUGGAAGGGUAGAUAAAGUGUUUCCAAGAUAAGGUCAAGUUAAAGGAGUUCAUCAUCACCAAGCCCUUAUUAUAUGCAAUGUUAAAGGGACAUACCUAAGAAAUAGAAGAAGAUCAAAACUAUGGCAAUAAAAUGGCAACAAACUGACAACUAUCAACAGCUGAAUCUAAAAAUUAAAAAACGAAAACAAAAACUAGGCAAACAACUAGAACAGGAACAGAAUCAGAGAAAUGGACAUCACAUAGAGGGUUUUCAGUGUGGAGGUGGAAGGGGAGAAUGAGAAGGGAAGGUAGAGGGAAUAAGAAGCAUAAUUGGUAGGCACAAAAUAGAUGGGGAGAGGUUAAGAACGGUAUAGGAAACAGAAAAGCCAGAGAACUUAUAUGGACAACCCACUGACAUGAACUAAGGGGGUGGGAAGUGCUGGAGGGUUGGGGGGUACAGAGCAGAGAGGGGAUAAAAGGGAGCAAAAAAUUGAGAAAACUGCAACAGCAUAAUCAAUAAAGGAUACUUAAAAAUAAAAAUAUAAAAAUUUUUUAAAGAAUUCAAAGCAAGAUCAUUAAGAGAUAUUUGCAUGGCCAUGUUCACUGAAGUAUUAUUCACUAUAACCAAGAGACUGAAGUAACCUGAGUGCCUACUGACAGAGUAAUAGAUAAAGAAAAUGUAGUAUAUAUAGACAAUGAAAUAUCAUGCAGCCUUAAAGAAAGAAGGAAAUCCUGUCACAUACUCCAACAUGGAGGAACCUUAAAGAUAUGCUAAGCGAAAUAAGCCAGUCACAAAGGAUAGAUACGGGAGGAUUCCACUCACACAGUGUACCUAGUCAAAAUCAUGGAUACAUAAAGAAGAAGAAAGGUGUUUGUCAAAAGCUAAGGGGAGGGGGAAAGAAUGUGGGUAAAGUUUCAGCUUUGCAAGAUGAAAAAGUUCUAGAGAUCUUCUGCCCAACAAUUAACACUACUGAACUUAAAAAUAAUUAAGUUGGGUAAAUUUAACGUUAAAUGCUUUCUACCAUAAUAAAAACAAAAUGCAUCCUCUAGUUAAUCUGUCACCUUAAAUUCCUUUGUAUGUGUCUUCUUACCUUUGAGUCUAUUGACAUUUUUAUCUUUUCCUAUUAUAGUAGCAUAUGGAUUUCAUAGAGUAUUUCUAUUAAAUGUUCAAAAUGUAAUAAGACAAAAUUCCACUUUGUUGUUUUUUUCUUAAUCCUCACUCAAGGACGUGCUUAUAGAUUUUAGGGAGAGUGGGGAAGAGGGGGAGAGAAACACUGAUGUAUGAGAGAAACAUUGAUUGGUUGCCUCUCCUACGUGCUCCGACCGGGAUCAAACCCAUGAUCCUUCGUUUAACAGGACCAUGCACCAACGAAGCCACACUGGCCAGGGACCACUUUAUUGUUCUUAAAUUUCAUAAUCUUCUUUGCUCUUCUGUAGCAUUUAACUUUUUGUAUCAAUGUUAAAAUUUUAUCCAAUUCUAUAGUGACCAU